UAUGUGAUCGUCUCUCGCAUAUCAAUAAGCGGAGGAAAAGAAACUAACAAGGAUUCCCCUAGUAACGGCGAGUGAAGCGGGAAGAGCUCAAAUUUGAAAUCUUAAAGGGUUUCCCUUUACGAAUUGUAGUUUAAAGAAGUGUUUUCUGUUGAGGUUUUGGUAAAAGUUCUUUGGAAUAGGACAUCAUAGAGGGUGAGAAUCCCGUAUUUGACCUUUACUUUCAACUUUGUGAUACACUUUCAAAGAGUCGGAUUGUUUGGGAAUGCAGUCCAAAAUGGGUGGUAAAUUUCAUCUAAAGCUAAAUAUUGGCGAGAGACCGAUAGCGAACAAGUACCGUGAGGGAAAGAUGAAAAGAACUUUGAAAAGAGAGUUAAACAGUACGUGAAAUUGUCAAAAGGGAAGCGUUUGACACCAGUGUUGUUUUUCUGAAAAUCAAUUAAAGAACUGUUUAUGCUAAGUUGUUUAGACUUUAUCAGCUAUCUGUUUAGUUUUGAGCUUUUCUUUAAUGCACUUUUCAGUUAACAAGUCAACAUCAAUUUCUUUUGCUGUAAAAAAGCUUGAGGAAGGUGGCUUGAGAUUCGUCUUAAGUGUUUAUAGCCUCUUGCCUAUGCAGUCGGAGAGAUUGAGGUCUGCAGCGUAGAUCCUUCGGGGCUAAAUGCAUUUGUGCUAAGUUAUAGCAUUUUAUAGACAACUUGUUGACUAUGAUUUGUCUUGUAGCUUACUCGCUUAUGUUAUUUUACCUACGCUUAGGAUGUUGAAGACUCUACAGAGAU
rnacentral:rRNA from 1 species